CCUGGGCAUGGUGGUGCACUUCUGUAAUCCCAACAACUAGGGAGGCUGAGGCAGGAGGAUUGCAAGUUCAAGGCUAGCCUCAGCAAUUUAGCAAGGCCUUAAACAAUUUAGUGAGAUUCUGUUUCAA
rnacentral:sRNA from 1 species